AGCAGGUGUGGUGUGUCCUGGAUCAAAGCUGGGAAGCAGCCAGGAGUGAGACUGGAGAGAGAAAUCUCAGCUCAACCAUCAAAGGCCACAUAAAGGAUUCUUAGAAGAUCAGCUAGGAUGCUGUUACAUUGAUUCAAAUGCAAAACCUCAAAGCAAUGAGGAUGUGGAGCAUUUAGUAGAUUUGAGAGAGACGUAGGAGGUAGAACUGACAGGAUUUGGUGAUUCAUUGGAUGUGCUGGGUUCCGACAGCCCCAAUUCAACAACGGUUUGUGGAGUACACCCUCUGUUCCAGAUGGCAAGUAGAGGCAUCGAGAAGUGUGAGGGAUGGCAGGGGAAGGAGCCUGGGACUGAAGGCAGCGUGUGGACAGCACAGCUCUGGUGUGUAAGAAGCCCCCCUUCACAGUGUUGGAGAAUGACAAGGUAAAGAUGCUACUGUAAUCACUCAGUCGGUGUCUGCAGCUCCCAGGAGUCACAGUGCAGCAGAAUGAUCUGAUGAUGGAAGAUUUGGGGAGGGGAUACCUUCCUUGUGACCAUGGAAAUCAAGCCCUAAUAAGCCCAAGGCACAGCUCUCUCUGGAGUAGGGACUUGCCUAACCGGACCUGAGGUAAACAGCAAAUGCAAAAUCAGAGUACAUCCUGGGCUUUGCCGAGGGCUUUAGAGAGACAGAUUUGGAUUCAAACCUAAUCUCUACCACUUUACUGAGCAUGUGACUGCGGACAAGUUUUGAAGGUUCUCGGUUCUCUCAUUUGUAAGGGCUAAACGGUGUUGCCCUGCCGUGCACUUGGGAAGAUUCGGUGACAGUCUAUUGCAAGUGCCCAGCACAGUGCCUGCCAAACGCUGAGUGCCUCCAACAACGUGUCCUUCCUCAUCCCCAUCUCAAAUGCUUAUUCACUUGUCUUUUUUUUUUGCCUCUAAGUUUUUGGGUUUUUUUUUUUUUAAGAUUUUAUUUAUUUAUUCAUGAGAGACAGAGAGAAAGAGAGAGGCAGAGACACAGGCAGAGGGAAAAACAGGCUCCCUACGGGGGAUCCUGGGACCUCAGGAUCACUCCCCGAGCCAAAGGCAGAUGCUCAACCACUGAGCCACCCAGGUGCCCCUACCUCUAAGUUUUGCAGCAAAGGCAGGUUAGAAUAAAUAUCACAUUAUCCAAGAAACCAGGUUAACCAGUCAAAUCUGAAUUUGCGAGGAAAGAACUAUCUUAGCAUUUUUUUCCCUAACCUUCUCAAACUGUGUGUCUGAUAAAGCCUACAGUGCAUAAACUUCUUUAGAAUAUUUUUCUCAUCUUUUGGAAGAUUUUCAUAUAUAUUCAAGAUUUGAAAUUCAUAACAAGCAAAACUAGGAAACAUUUAAGUUGCUACAGGUUGUUGGGUAUAAUAUCAAGGAUAUGAUAGAGAAGAUUCUGGGUUUCUGAAGCAGGGAUAAUAAAGUAAAUCUGAGUCCCAGCAUAUCAACCAUGACACCAUAUCACCAUGUCGCACUUCAUAAUGAAGUAUGGUGUGUGUUGGCGGGUGUUUCCCCCACUGAUGUAUUCUGGAAUGUUCAAUAAAGUUUCACUUGCUGAUUUACAGUCACUUCAGAGAGCUGUUUAAGCAUCUCCCUCCGUCUCCCCCAGCUGGCAGGGUUCUAGCCUUGACCCCUCCCUGGCCCUCCCGGCCUAUGAUGGGUUUGCCCGUUGUGCCUCUCUGCCUGGAUGUCCCAUGAACCCUUAACACUCAACACCUCCGAAGCAGGAGUUGCCAUCUUCCCCCAGUCCUGCCUGUCCCCCAGUGUCCCUCCAUCCCAGCUGUGGGCACUGUCAUCCACCUAGCCGCAGGGGCCGGGAACCACCAGCCUGCCCCCUCUGCCCCUCCUUUCCUGCACUCGGUCAGCCUCCGAGUUUGUUGGUGGUCAGCAAGCGUGCGUGGUGAC